AAGAAAGGACGAUACGCUCAGAGGCUCGGCGGUGGUGCUCCGGUUUAUAUGGCCGCCGUCCUCGAAUACCUCGCCGCCGAAGUUUUGGAGCUUGCUGGGAACGCUGCGAGAGAUAA